GUUGUAACAUAUUUAUGGUGGAAAAUAAGUCCCUGCAGGAGGAGGCCCUCUCCUGGCUUGUAAUAAUAACCAAUCCCGCCAGGGGGAGCUGUGUAUAAAAGAGGGCCAUUCUCACUGGUGCAGCCUCUGCUGCUGGUUCU